rnacentral:rRNA from 1 species
CCACGGGUGAGUAACACGUAUCCAACCUGCCGUCUACUCUUGGACAGCCUUCUGAAGGAAGAUUAAUACAAGAUGGCAUCAUGAGUCCGCAUGUUCACAUGAUUAAAGGUAUUCCGGUAGACGAUGGGGAUGCGUUCCAUUAGAUAGUAGGCGGGGUAACGGCCCACCUAGUCUUCGAUGGAUAGGGGUUCUGAGAGGAAGGUCCCCCACAUUGGAACUGAGACACGGUCCAA